UACGGGGGGGGGCAAGCGUUGUUCGGAAUUACUGGGCGUAAAGGGCUCGUAGGUGGCCAACUAAGUCAGACGUGAAAUCCCUCGGCUUAACCGGGGAACUGCGUCUGAUACUGGAUGGCUUGAGUUCGGGGAGAGGGAUGCGGAAUUCCAGGUGUAGCGGUAGAAAUGCGUAGAUAUCAGGAGGAACACCAAUGGCGAAGGCAGCACUCUGGGACGGUACUGACGCUGAGACGCGAAAGCGUGGGGAGCAAACAGG
rnacentral:rRNA from 1 species